rnacentral:lncRNA from 1 species
CAUUCCUGCAAAGCUGACCACCAUCUCCUCCAGGUCAAGUCAGAGACUCCUGCAGGUACUCAGCACAAAGGCAGUGCGGAACCAGGCGUGUGGAGCGCACUGCGUACUCACCAGGGAGCCUCCAUGUGACCCCACGCAAGUGGGGAAAUGGAGUCACCUUCAGCACCCAGAGCCCUACAAAUGGACUGAGCUCCCCAUUCCUGCUGCCCGCCUUCCACUAAGGGCAUCCUGAUUUGCAAUUGUGC